UUUUGUCAAUUUUGUCUCGCCUCUGGUUUUGCCGGUAGAAUGACUUUCAUGUGUAUCUCAUCGCCCCAUGUUAUCACUUUCUGCAACAGGAACGACGACGGGCAACACGCGUCAUGCUUGUCAUGUGAUCUAUAUCGUUCACUGUAAUUGGCAGCGAAGGAAGGAUAUUUCCGGCUACAUAGCAGGAUGUUUGGUUGUGAGGAACGACGUUCCAAAAACAAACUUGUGCAGAGGGCGAGAGACAGAAUCAAGAAAGAUGGCGAGAUGACUAACCGCAUUGCAGAGCUGGACAGGUCCGUAGAGCAGCACUGCAGGCCCUCCUGGAGCAUGAGAGACAGCAGUACGUCAUAGAGCUCAACAGACUGGGCAAGACCAUCUACAAACAGAGAGUCAAGACUCUAGUCUCCACUAGACCCAUAACAACACCAACGACCAUCUGAAGUUUAUGCUGAAAGCCAUCUAGCAGCUAGGAUGUGUGAACAACUAUAGAAUACUUUGAAGUAUUAAUGUGAAAACAUUUACUCACAGCCAUCUACAAGCACCUUGUU